rnacentral:rRNA from 1 species
ACUCCUACGGGAGGCAGCAGUGGGGAAUAUUGCACAAUGGGCGCAAGCCUGAUGCAGCCAUGCCGCGUGUAUGAAGAAGGCCUUCGGGUUGUAAAGUACUUUCAGCAGUGAGGAAGGUGGGUAUGUUAAUAGCAUAUUCAUUUGACGUUAGCUGACAGAAGAAGCGAACCGGCCUAACUCCGUGCCAGCAGCCGGCGGUAAUACGGAGGGUGCUAGCGUUAAUCGGAAUUACUGGGCGUAAAGCGCAUGCAGGUGGUUUGUUAAGUCAGAUGUGAAAGCCCGGGGCUCAACCUCGGAAUUGCAUUUGAAACUGGCAAACUAGAGUGCUGUAGAGGGGGGUAGAAUUUCAGGUGUAGCGGUGAAAUGCGUAGAGAUCUGAAGGAAUACCGGUGGCGAAGGCGGCCCCCUGGACAGAUACUGACACUCAGAUGCGAAAGCGUGGGGAGCAAACAGGAUUAGAUACCCUGGUAGGAUAGCGU